AUUGAACGCUGGCGGCAUGCCUUACACAUGCAAGUCGAACGGCAGCACGGGUGCUUGCACCUGGUGGCGAGUGGCGAACGGGUGAGUAAUACAUCGGAACAUGUCCUGUCGUGGGGGAUAGCCCGGCGAAAGCCGGAUUAAUACCGCAUACGAUCUACGGAUGAAAGCGGGGGCCCUUCGGGCCUCGCGCUAUCGGGUUGGCCGAUGGCUGAUUAGCUAGUUGGUGGGGUAAAGGCCUACCAAGGCGACGAUCAGUAGCUGGUCUGAGAGGACGACCAGCCACACUGGGACUGAGACACGGCCCAGACUCCUACGGGAGGCAGCAGUGGGGAAUUUUGGACAAUGGGCGAAAGCCUGAUCCAGCAAUGCCGCGUGUGUGAAGAAGGCCUUCGGGUUGUAAAGCACUUUUGUCCGGAAAGAAAUCCUUGGCCCUAAUACGGUCGGGGGAUGACGGUACCGGAAGAAUAAGCACCGGCUAACUACGUG
rnacentral:rRNA from 1 species